rnacentral:lncRNA from 1 species
CUUUCUCUCCACAGCCCCCAUCUCUAACCACAAACAAGCCCCCCACGAUGACAUGUGCAAAUCAUUCAAUACCUGUGGACGUCCUGGGCUCUGAAAUCAAGGCUAUCUCCCUUGGUCUGCAGUCUAUCAGCGGAAUAACAUCAAACUCUCCUGCCUCUAGGCUUGUUUUCUAAAAGGUCAUCAGGGGAGUUGCUGUGGCUCUGGUGUAGGCCGGUGGCUACAGCUCCGAUGAGACCCCUAGCCUGGGAACCUCCAUAUGCCGCGGGAGCGGCCCAAGAAGUGACAAAUAAAUAAAUAAAUAAAUAAAUAAAUGGUCAUCAGAAGAAAACAGGAUGUGUCUGAGUAGGUGAACUACUAGCUUUUAGAGAAAAGGAAAAAGAAAAGCCCCACAUUUCUUCAAAAAUUCAAAUGGUUUAUUCUUUUUCCCCUCUUUGCCACAGAUAUGAGGACUGAGAAGAAACUUAGUGAUGCUCUGGAUCAGAGUGAGGACUAGAGCCCAGAGAUGUUCAGGGACUUGUUCAAGGUCACCCAGCAGGUUAGCAGCAGAACCAGAAGGAAGUCAAGCCCCCCACCUCCUGGUCCAGCGCUGUGGGUGGCCCAGCUCUGCUUCCACAUUAGAUCAUCAAUGCGUCUUCAGACAUGGGUUGAUGGCCAUUUAGAAGCUAGGCAGUGGUCAACGAGACGUCGAAGGUGUUGGUGAAAGUGUUGCAGAUUCUCAGUAGAAAUCUAAAGUAGAGCAGAGCAGGAAAUAAAAGAUGGGGGUGAGGGCAGAAUUGGGGGGCAGCCUGGCAUGGAAAGUCUCACUUCUCGAUGAGGGGGAGCUGCUGGCCCUUCCAGUGGGAAGAACUUGCUAUGCACCAAAGUGACCAUCUCUGACUCCCAAGGGUAUCGCUUCCAGACUCGAGGACCCCACACUGCAUUGUCCUUCUGCCCGUGAGUGGCCGCUGCACCACCACAAGGUGGUGGGAACAUGCCAUGGGCUGUCACUUCAGGUCCUGGUGAAGGUGGAAGAGUGAAGGUCCUGCCCAUACCACCACUAUUAGGUGACAUUUGAGCUCUUCCCCUGGGCCACGCCCUGAGCUACGUGCGUUGCUUACGUCAUCACGUCCGGUCUUCAUAUCGGGUAGGUUCUAUUAUCAAUCCCAUUUCAGAGGUAAGAAAACUGAGUCUUGGAGAAGUUUCGUAAUCGGCCCAGAGUCACAGAGCUAGUGAAUGCCAAAGUCAGAAUUCAAAUUCUCCUUUCUAGAGAAGGGUGGCUCAAAGCAUGGGCUCUGGGGUCCGAUUGCCUGGAUGUGAACCCUGGGUCCCUGCUCGCUAGCUGUGAGGUGUUUAACACAAUACAUAACCUCCCCCAGCCGCCCUUUCUUCAUCUGUAAGGUUGUAACAGUAAUUACAGUUUUUAGCUUAUAGGUUUGUGAUGAUUAGAGAAUAUAACAUAGUCACUAUUGACACAUAGUUAAUUACUAGUUGUGAAGGAGUUAACUAUAGUUCAUCUACAGGUUGACUCCCAUGACAUUGCUCUUGUGGUAGACUGAGAAUGGUCAAAUAUUGACAUUUCAUAUGAUUCACUCUAAUACCACGUAGGCAUAUUCAUUUUUGGUAAAUAUAACGACGGUUCCCUUAUUCAUCUCAUAAUUUGUGAAAGGACAGGUGUUUAAUGGCUUCAGUACACUUUUUUUUUUCUCUUGACUUUCCUGCUCAUUGUACUUUCUCUAAAGAACCACAUGGAGGGAGUUCCCAUCAUGGCGCAGCAGAAAAUGAAUCCAACUAGGAAACUUGAGGUUGCGGGUUUGAUCCCUGGCCUUGCUCAGUGGGUUGAGGCUCCGGCGUUGCUGUGAACUGUGGUAUAGGUUGCAGACGUGGCUCAGAUCCUGUGUUGCUAUGGCUCUGGAGUAUGCCGGCGGCUACAGUUCUGAUUAGACCCCUAGCCUAGAACCUCUAUAUGCUGCAGGAGCAGCCCUAAAAAAGGCAAAAAGACAAAAAAACAAAAACAAAAACAAAAACAAGAAAACAAAAAACAAAAAGAAAGACUACAUCUAUGGUGCAUGAUGGAGGGGGGGGCGCUUUUGCUGCUCAAAGAGGAUUCUCAGCCCCACCCCCAUCACCGCUCCCAGCAUAUGUUGGCCUCAGUCCUCUUUCCUUAGAUUUCAUAUUUAUAAGAAUACAAAUAGCACUGGAAUUCAAGGGAAGCACUCAGGAGAGACAGCCUUGCUAGUUAAUACAGGAAUAAUCUUUCACUAAAAUUAGUCUCACCAAUGAAAUGGACUGACAUCUCCAGGGAAGCUUCAGACUUUCUUGGUGUCUGGAAUGGAGAUUACUACUGGGUUUAGAGUAUAAUACCCCCUGUGAUGUCAGAAUUCUGUUCUGUGUGUGUGUGUGUGUGUGUGUGUGUGUGAGUGUGUGUGUGUGUGUGUGUGUGUAUGUCUGUGUGUCUGGGGCUAUGUUCUUUUCUUUCUUUCCACAUUUAACAAAAUAGUCUGGAAGUCUUUUAAAGCAUCUAUGGCAAGGAGGUUUCCAGAUUAUGCGUGGAUCCCAUGAUUUGAUCCCAAGAUUUGUUUUUUCCCACCAUGGCGCCUGUUAACCCGAUGAAAAUGCAUUUGCAUACCCAUGAACGCAGACACACUUGGAGUCGUUUUCUUUCUCUGUGCCCUAUUCCUUUUCUCCUCUUUGUGUCUAUGGUUACUGUUAAGCUGACCCCUACAGUCUGGGGCAAAUACCAAGCACCACUUCUCCAUACAGCUGCAAAGGCUGCAGUCUCAGGGGCUCAGAUGACAGUUUAAGGUGAAAUUCCUUUAUCCUGUUGCAGUUCGGGAAACUUGUCAGGAUUCCAUGCACAAGGUGAGCUGCUUAGGACUCGCCGUGCUGAAUUUUCAAAACGGUGUCUUGCUGUUAUUUUUGUGUGGUUUUGUUUUACAAGCACGACUUUUAUGAACUUUUUUGUCUGGGGGUGAGUAGGAUGGGGUUGUUAUAAUAUUGAACCUUAUCCUUGGAAACAAUGACAGAAAGAUUUUCUCUUUUAUUUGACUCUCCCUUCUUCUGGUUUCUGUGAGAAGCUAUUGCUUGCAAAAACCAUAGCGAAUUAAAAAAUUGCACUUAUUCAGCUGCACAGAAGCAGGAGUGGGGGCUGGCUAGGGGCGGGAGGAAGAGCCAGCGCCCCCGGAGUGCUCCCUCGCCUCAUUCAUGCUGCCUUCGUCCUUCCCUUCGCUUUAAGCGUCAUCCCGUCAUCCCGGGGCUCCGUGCUUUUGUGUCAGCGGGCCCUAGAGUGAUCUGGGGCUGGGAGACGGACAGGAGAGGGCUUACCCGUUGCCACGGGCUCUGCUUACAACAGCCCGACAAACAGCUUCCGCGGGCCGGGGCACGGGGCUGGCGUGCCUGCGGCCGCCGCAGAAACCGGUUCUCGGGUCUGGCCGCGUGUACUUCCCCUUACAUCAGGGGCCGGCCGCUGUCAGGCAGGCCGGCCUGCGAUUGGUUGGGAGGAGGGCAGUAAUCCGAACUGCCUUUUGUACUUGGCUAAUCAGGGCAGCCGUUUGAUUGCAGGUUGCGAGCCGAGGUGCCUGGGUGGUGUCUGACACCUGUGUCUUAGCUCUCACUUCCCGGGCUGCCUCCCGGGGAUUCUUUCCCGGCCCGGAAUCGGAAUCGUGCCCCCAGCCACCGCCCCCAAGCCCCUGAGCCCCCUCGAUGGGCCGGCUUGGCCCAGUGUCAUGCUGGACAGAGAUGCCCAACAGAUAGCGGAGGACAGUGGAAAUGCAGGCUUAGACUUCCUUAAGGUAAGACCAUUUUCCACCGGAUUGUUUCUCGAUGUGAUUUCUGCGUUUGUCUCCACAGAAAUGCUGGCAUCGCAGAAGGUAAACUACAGGGAGGCAGGGAAGUUGUUUAGUUAGGCCUUCAUGAUGAAUUCCUACGUGAUUUGGCUGUCAGAUGUGCUGGCAGAAUGAUUCCAAGGCAUAAAUAAAGAUGUACAACGGGAAGGGUGGACAAAGGCCUGUGGUCCUUGCGGGCAGUCGGCACUUCUCUGCGCGCUCCUUCCUGUGUGAGAGAAGCUGAAGUGAUGCCAAGUGACCCUUCACUAGGACCAGCAAAUAUAUAUGUGCUUGUGCAGAAGGUUUCUUCCAGCCAUGCAACCCCAGGAUUUACCAUCUGAUUCUAAUUACCACUUCUUUUUAAAGCUCCCUUUAAUUUUUUAUCUUGUGAUAUGAAAGCAGUUUUUCCUUUGAGGGUCUGCCCAGAUUAGGGGAGUCAGUGGUGCACAGGCUUUGAUGGCCCUGCUUGGCUCACUUCCCUCCACCCUUGUGGUCAUCCAGAUUUGAGCAGCAGUGAGAUGCUUAGGAAUAUGGGGCCACGAUCCUGAUUAAGCUUCAGCUCUGCUCUGAUUUCAUUUUAUGUACUUUUAAGUUGAUUGAGAAGUAACUUUGGGGACCAUCCUGACUUCCCGUGGGGACCUCUCCUUGGACCUGCUGUCAGCAUGCUUUCAUUCCAGGGUUGAGGCACCCAGGGGUGGUGAGAGGACUCGUGGUUUGGACUUACAGCUUUGCUUGUUUGUACUGACAGGGAGGAGACAAUUGUGUGUGUGUGGUUUUUUUAAUGAAAAUUGUCUGUAAAUGGGUAAAGAUCCAUUUAUAAAUCCAAAGAGGUUCUGAGACUUUACCCACCACGUUAAUUGCAAAGGUAAUACAGAGAUGUUCCUCAAUUCUAAAUGAUUCAAUUCAAGUAAUAAACAGUAAGGACAGACAGCAGUGGUGAAAACCAGGCAAUAAGCCUUCAGAAGCCAUAUGCUUGCAAUCUGUUAAUCCUGAAAUGUGUGUUUGUCUUCCAAUAUUUAUAGCCAGUUGGAAAUCUCCAUCUUUCUCAGCCGUUAGCUAACUCUUCUUGAUAAAGACAUUUUCCUGUAAUAGGAGCAAUGUAUUGGUAAUCCUAACUAUAAAUAUUUAAAUGACUGUUUUGAUGAAUGAAAGUGUCAGAAAUGACAUUGCCCAUGAGAAGAAAUGUGGUCAUUACACACAUCGACAGAAAUCCUUUAAAAUACAACGUGGGUGCAAAUAGUACAGAUGAUGGUGAUCAUUGAAAAAUUAGAUCUCUUGGUAGGUAGAUACUAAGUGAAUUUAUUUUAUUUUUAUUUUUUAUUUUUAUUUUUUUGGUCUUUUUGCCUUUUCUGGGGCCGCUCCUGCAGCAGGUUCCCAGGCUGGGGGUCGAAUCGGAGCUGUAGCCACUGGCCUACACUACAGCUCACAGCAACGCUGGAUCGUUAACCCACUGAGCAAGGCCAGGGAUCGAACCCGCAACCUCAUGGUUCCUAGUCAGAUUCGUUAACCACUGAGCCACGACAGGAACUCCCCAUUAAGUGAAUUUAUUAAUGUCGAGGGAGUUAAAAAGGAGGAAUGAAUGUUGUAAACUAAACAAAUGUUGAUUUAUUUAGCACUGAUGGAAAUUUCACAAUUCUACCUUGCUUACAACCUAGAGUGUAUACAUCAAAAAUGAUUUCCUGGGUUAAGGAUAAGUUACCAUUGUAUGGGGGAGGAAUAAAUACCAUUUGAGCCGGAAUCACU